AGGCUAUUGUAAUUCAUUUGUUAAAUGUGCAACUCUCAGUCUAUAUUACACAGCAAUUUUUGACAGCAGAGCUAAGAUCUGGCAUCUCCUAUCCAAUGAAAGAGUAGAGGAUGAGGUCAUCGGUUCAAUCCCAUCUACAGGUCACAAUCACUGGCUGUACAAAGAGCGUUGACUGGCUGAAUUCAUAGACAGCCUCUUGUGUGACAAUUUCUGAUAUCUUGGGCCAUGGGAAAAAAACUUCUGGUUAUAGGGACAACGAGUGAAGUCGGCUUCUUAGAUUCAAUUGAUAUUUUGUGAUGCUUUCUGUCACUUACCAUGUUCCUACAUUGAAGACAGAUGAUGCAAAGAAGAUGCUAGAACAGCUGAAUGUUUUUGCUUAUGAAAGACAUCAAUGCAGCUGCAGAGGCCCUGAAUGAUAUGCCAAUCAAGAAGCUUUAUAUGCUGAUUGAGAUGGCAGCCUAGGGUGAGCGUGGUGGAGCUUCAGAGGCAAUGUUGGACCACAAAGGGUGCAAACCCAAGUGUAGGUUUUCGCAAAUAAUAAUUCUCGAUA